UUGGGUAGUUUAGACAUUCCGUG
rnacentral:siRNA from 1 species